CUCGUAGGCGGUUCGUCGCGUCCGGUGUGAAAGUCCAUCGCUUAACGGUGGAUCCGCGCCGGGUACGGGCGGGCUUGAGUGCGGUAGGGGAGACUGGAAUUCCCGGUGUAACGGUGGAAUGUGUAGAUAUCGGGAAGAACACCAAUGGCGAAGGCAGGUCUCAGGGCCGUCACUGACGCUGAGGAGCGAAAGCGUGGGGAGCGAACA
rnacentral:rRNA from 1 species